rnacentral:rRNA from 1 species
UACGUAGGGAGCAAGCGUUGUCCGGAAUCAUUGGGCGUAAAGCGCGCGUAGGUGGCUUCGUAAGUCCGUUGUGAAAGUCAAAGGCUCAACCUUUGAAAGCCGAUGGAUACUGCGGAGCUAGAGUACGGAAGAGGCGAGUGGAAUUCCUGGUGUAGCGGUGGAAUGCGCAGAUAUCAGGAGGAACACCAAUAGCGAAGGCAGCUCGCUGGGACGGUACUGACGCUGAGAAGCGAAAGCAUGGGGAGCGAACAGG